CACGUAGGGUGCAAGCGUUGUCCGGAAUUAUUGGGCGUAAAGGGCUCGUAGGCGGUCCGUCACGUCGGGAGUGAAAACUCGGGGCUCAACCCCGAGCCUGCUUCCGAUACGGGCGGACUAGAGGUAGGUAGGGGAGCGGGGAAUUCCUGGUGUAGCGGUGAAAUGCGCAGAUAUCAGGAAGAACACCUAUGGCGAAGGCAGCUCUCUGGGACGGUACUGACGCUGAGACGCGAAAGCGUGGGGAGCGAACAGG
rnacentral:rRNA from 1 species